GAGAAGUCGUAACAAGCUUUCCGUACGUGAACCUGUGGAAGGAUCAUUGUUGAAAAUUGCUAAGCAGAGCGACCCGUGGACAUGUUGAAAUAAAUCGUCAGGGGUACAGCACCUAAUGUGGUGCGACACCCUCGACUGCCGACCAAGCCCGCACCUUAUAGUCUUCUCCAAAAGCGACAAUGGGCGUGUCGGGUUAGGCUUCGCACAAGAAUGAGCUGCAUGCGGAUCGUGCCAAGGAACAGUAACAUACCAUGCGUUGCCUUGCUGCCAGAUGCUCACCAAGUGAGGUGGCAACCUAUCGUAUCUAAAUGACACUCGACAACGGAUAUCUUGGCUCUCGCAUUGAUGAAGAACGUAGCAAAAUGUGAUACCUGGUGUGAAUUGUAGAAUCCUGUGAACCAUCAAGUCUAUGAAUGCAAAUGGCACCCGAAGCCUAUAGGCUGAGGGCAUGUCUGCCUGGGUAUCACGCAUAGUGUCACCUCCAACCAAGGCAUUGUGUCUCUGCAUGCCAAGUAGGGGCGGAGAGUGGCCUCCCAUGUGUUGUUGCACAAUUGGCCUAAAAUCAGAGCUCGGCGACUGGGCUAUGACAUUCGGUGGUCGACAAGGCAAAGGCCGAGGAUACGUCACAUCGCGCUUGGCACGUCACCCGUGAAGCUCGCAUGACCCUGUCGCAUUCUCUGUACGGCACCAACGCAGCGACCCCAGGUCAGGCGGGGCUACCCGCUAAGUUUAAGCAUAUUAAUAGGCGGAUGAAAAGAAACUUACAAAGAUUCCCCUAGUAACGGUGACCGAACCGGGAAGUGCCCAGCUUUAGAAUUGGGCGGCUCUACAGUCU
rnacentral:rRNA from 1 species